GAGGGUAUAGCUCAGUGGUAGAGUGCAUGCCUAGCAUACAUGAGGUCCUGGGAUCAAUCCCCAGUACCUCCA
rnacentral:tRNA from 1 species